GGGGGCUGUGGCUCAGUGGAAGAGCCUCUGCUUGGAAAGCAGAAGGUCCCAGGUUCAAUCCCUGGCAUCUCCA